rnacentral:lncRNA from 1 species
UUUUUUUUUUCCUUUUAAGUUUAAAAUAUCCAUGCAGAGAGAAAUGAAAGGUCUGGAACUUUACAGUUAAAAUCAUUUUCCUAAUCUUCGUUCAAUUGAUUAAACAAAAUUUUCUUUAAUACUCAAUUUGUAAUAUGGAUGAUUCAUUCCAAUUUUGAUCCUUGUUAUUUGACUUAUAAAAGUGAGAGAUGCUUCAUUUUUAUUUUUAUUUUGCUUUCAGCAGCAAAUUCAAGAUAUCUUGAUAUAUAUAUAUAUUAUAUAUAUAUAUAUAUAUAUAUAUAUAUAUAUAUAUAUAUAUAUAUAUAUAUAUAUAUAUAUAGUAUAGUAUAUAUAUAUAUAUAUCUAUAUAUAUAUAUAUUAUAUAUAUAUAUUUAUUAUAUAUAUAUAUUAAAGAUUGUAACUAAUUGUCUACCUAUGAUGGCCUAUAGUCAUCUAGGCAUGAACAAGUUUGUAUUCAAAUAAGUAAAUCAUCCAACCUGUAAACCAAAUUAAUUAAUCUCAAUGUCAUAUCUUUCAUCAUAUGAUUCAGGACCACUAAACAAAAACAUAUAAAACUUUGUUUACAAGUGUUAAAUGGUAACAAAAAAAUAGAGAUAUAAGAAAAGUCAAAGAGCAAAAAAUAGAGAGAAAAUUGGACUAUAAGUAAAGGUUAACAUCUCCAUUUCAAUCCCAAGAACCACCAUACUUUGUUAUUGAGAUCUCAUGUGCUUUUUGUAACCCCUCCAUAUGCUUGCACACUCUCAUGCAUACAUAAAUAUAGGUAUAAAGAAAAAGAGAAUGAGAUUCCAUACAGAUAAUAAAGUGAAUGGACCCAAUGAUUGAUCUUUUUCCUUACAUUUUUACCUUUCUUAUCCAUCACUCCAACACUAACCUUCAGAAGCCACAUAUCAACCUUCAUACUUCAAAUAUAUAAAAGUUACUUACAAGAAAAACAUGAUUUAUGGUAUAAUAUCUCACCCAACGAAUCAUCCUUCAAGCUUCCUUGAUUCUUCCUCCAUGAUUAAACAUUUUUAAUGAAUAUACACUUUUGGUCUAAAAUAAUUUUAUAUCUACCUUCAAGAACACGGAUUGCAAUUUGCUGCAGUCACACAGUCUCGGCAAUCAUGCAGUCAAGUUUGUUUGACCAUCCGAUCAAAAUCAGACAAUUUUUAUUUUAAAUUAGCAUUUUUUAAUUAUAAUAUAAAAAACAAUUUUAUUUUUUAGAAUCGUGUCAUUAAGAUCAAACGAUUUAUAAUACAAUGAUUGGUUGAAUCCAUCGAAAAUUGACCGCAAAAAAUCUAUUUUCUAAGAACAUAUUAUCAUAUAUUGUCGUGUCAAUCUAUUUUAUGGUUGAAAAAGUUAUUUCAAAAAUACUAAAUUUUCAAUAGACAUCAACAUAAACCUAAUUUACAUUGACGAUGCAUAUCAACUCAUAUUCUCAUAUACUUUAAUAUGAAUCAUAUAUCUAUUACACAUAAUUAAAAAGACUAAUCAUUCAAAUAAAUAAAAAAACACAACAGACAACAAAAUUGUUUUUCAAAAUAUACAAUAGAAUUUGAAUCUAAAACCUUUAAUUUAACUCGAAAAUAAAAUUGUCAUCUCAUUCAUAAUUCAAACAUGAUUAUAACUUUAUUAUGAAUAAUUCAUUAAUUAAUAUUUAAUGACAUUCAUCACCUUUUGACACACUGCCAAAGUGUCGAAAAAAUGAUGGAAUCAUCCCUCGUGGUUUAGUUUCCAAAAAGCAAUGCCCUUCACAAGAGGUUGUAUGGCAGAUCCCCACCUUCCCAUGUUACAACUUCCCCUCUUACCUGUCCCUACGUUCCCUACAUUUUAUAAAACCUCUCACCUCCCUCUCUUCCCUCUCCCUCCAAUCUCUCUCUCUCUCUCUCUUCACAUUACUCACACACUUUUCAUAAUGUGUAGCUCUAAGGCUAAAGAAACUAUAGUCCUAGAAUCUUCCACAACACCUCCUCAUGUUUCUAGAAUCAAUGGAAGACAAGUACUUCAACCUACAUGCAACCAUGUUCUUGUUCCAAAUCUUGAAAGAAGAAACUCAAUGAAAAAACUUACAUCAAAAUCACUUUUUUCACCACCACUUCCAAACAAGACUUCUACUACUACUACUACUACUUCAUUGUCACCACCAAUUUCUCCAAAGCCAAAAUCUCCUACUAGACCAUUCUUAGCUAUAAAGAGAGGAAAUGACAACAAUGGAAUGAACUCAAGUUGUGAAAAGAUUGUUAUACCAAAAAACACAAUGAAAACUCCAUGUUUAGAGAGAAAGAAAUCAAAGAGUUUCAAAGAAGGGUCUUAUGGUGUUGAAGCUUCUUUGAGUUAUUCUUCUUCUUCGAUCACUGAUUCUCCAGGAAGUAUAGCGGCAGGGAGAAGGGAACAGAUGGCACUUCAACAGGCACAAAGGAAAAUGAAGAUUGCUCAUUAUGGAAGAUCGAAGUCUGCGAAAUUUGAAAGAGUUUUUCCUAUUGAUCCUUCAAGUGCUCUUGAUUUAAAGACUAGUAAUGAAGAGGAGAAGAGGUGCAGCUUUAUCACAGCCAAUUCAGGUAAUUUCGUAGUAAAUAAUUUGAUACAAGUUCUUAUAUACCCUUUUUGCUUUAUCUUAAUGUUAAUCUAUAUGUCUCUUUUGAUGAAUAGAUCCUAUCUAUAUUGCUUAUCAUGAUGAAGAAUGGGGAGUUCCUGUUCAUGAUGACAAGUAAGCUCCUAUUUUUCUAUCUCUCUCACAGAUACGGACAUCUGACACACACCAACACGUCAACAACAAUUGUUUGAGAAAACGAAUAUUUAAAUGUAAUUACAUGUAUGUGUUUCAUGUCAAUAUUGAAUACUAACACAUGUUAGAUAUCAGACACAUCUUUAAUAUAAUUACAUGAACUGACACAUGUCAGUCAUGGACAUCUGACACACAGUAACACGUUGAUUCUGAUAGUUUGACAAAAAGACUAUUUUAAUGUAAUUACAUGUGUAUGUGUUUUGUUCGUGUCAGAUACAAAUACGUGUUAGAUAUGAGAUAUCGAACACGUAUUCAAUCUGAAAUAUCGUGUCAGAUAAUAAUACAUGUCAGAUAUCAAACAUGCUUACAAUAUGAAUACGAAGGAUCAGUUAUCUACAAACACACAUAAACUAAUUGCAACAAAAAUGAAUUUGCUGAGACAAAUGAUGAAGACUAACAAAAACCAUAUGUUAUUGUCCAUAAUUCAGGAUGUUGUUUGAACUUCUAAUUCUAAGUGGUGCUCAAGUUGGAUCUGAUUGGACCUCAACCUUAAAAAAACGCCUAGAUUUCAGGUUUGAUUCUGCUAAAAGCCAUUCAUAUGAAUAAACAUAAACAUUUUUUUAUUUUAUUUCUUGUUUUUGAUGGAACUAAUAAUAAUUUUUAAAUUUAUGUACAGGGUUGCAUUUUCAGAAUUUGAUGCAGAAAUUGUGGCCAACUUCACUGAUAAACAAAUGAUAUCUAUUAGUUCAGAAUAUGGCAUUGAUAUAAGCAAAGUUAGAGGAGUUGUUGACAAUGCUAACCAAAUUUUACAAGUUAAAAAAGUGUUUGGUUCAUUUGACAAAUACAUAUGGGGAUUUGUGAACCAAAAACCAAUCUCAACUCAAUACAAAUUUGGCCACAAGAUUCCAGUGAAGACAUCAAAAUCAGAAAGCAUAAGCAAAGACAUGAUUAGGAGAGGUUUUAGGUUUGUUGGUCCAACAGUGGUUCAUUCAUUUAUGCAGGCAGCUGGCCUAACAAAUGAUCACUUAAUCACUUGCCAUAGGCACUUGCAAUGCACUUUCUUGGAAGCUAUGUAAGAGAUUGUUAAUUGACCCUACAAGAGCUCAAGAGAUGGAUUGAAAGUAAUGUAAUUCAAUGUGCUAACUAUAGUUUACUUCAUGUUAAUUGUUGUGUAUAGUAUUAGAGAUAGGUUUAAAAGUUUUUCUUUUUCUUUCUGAUUUGUGAGUUGUUGUGAGAAUUUUAAUGAUAAGUUUGAGUGUGCUAAAGCUUUUUCAUUUGCAUAAUUCAAGAAGAAAAAGGUUUUGGAUGGUCAUUUUGCGCGUUAACUCUCUCACGCAUAAUCGUUUUAAGUUUUUUAAGAUUCAGUGUUAGUUAGUUACGAUUCAACAGUUGAAAAAUGAAUAGGAUCCUAUUUAGACAGGUUUAACAAUGACAAAUAUUUUUUGAAAGUCAUGUGCGGUAGUCCACCUUACACAUCCUCAAGACGACUUUAGUGUCACGCAUUUUUUAAUCUCAAAUGCUUGAAGAUUGUAUAAAGUUGAUUUUUAUUGUGUGUAAUCUGAAUCGGCUAAUCUCAAACUUAAGCCCAAUGCAAUAAUUGUGUCGCACAUUUUUCAAUCAUCUGAUCUCAAAUUAACAACUAAAAUCAUUUAAAGUGAAUAUAAACCCUUAGAUAUCAGAUUAGUGAUCACAACGAGAUAAUUUACUGCGUGUAAAAAUGAAUGCAUGAGAGAAUCCAAAUCCAUCUGAUCUCAAAUUAACGAUCAAAAUUAUUUAAAGUGAACGUGAACCAUCUGAUCUCAGAUUAACGAUCAAGACGAGACCGUUAUAAGUCCGAACACGAGAGAAUCGAGAUCCUAUAAUAAGUGGUGGGAGUGUUAGGGAACAGUCAGCAAGUGCAUGUGCAAAUGGGAGACAAUGGCAUGUGUGGUGUCAGUUUGCUUUGCAAAAGACCAUGUGACCCAUCAAAACUUUGCAUUAUUUGGUUUCCUUUAACAGGCUGUGUGGGAUACUAGUUGAAGGGUAUGUAGGGACCAAUGUAACAUUUCUCUUUGCUUUGUUUAUCAAGUUUUGUUAUUUUAUCUUUAUUGUAUUCUUCUAACUUUUUGGCUUCAGUGAAUAUGAUAUUAAUAUAUUAUACACUUUUCCAAUAUAUUUUGGACUUGGUGUGGAUCUUUUGAGUGGCCUUCAAUUCAUUUCUCAUGUGCUUAUGUACUAUUUCAUUGUUACUACUAACUUUAUAUAUUACUUUUUCUAUUUUUUUUAUAACUUGUUAAGAUAAGUAUAUCAUAUCUUCUCCCAUGUGGCCAUUUCACUUUCUUUCUUGUAAUUGGUUACAACAACAUUGAAUAUGCUUUAAACUAAUUAAUGAUUGUAGCUAUUGUUGGGGGUAGUAUUUAUCAUCGUUACAUUGCACAUGCAUAGAAGAAACUACUUGCAAAUGUAUAAGAAUCACUAACAUUAAUUUUCUCAACUGAACAAAAGUGUAACAGAAUAGAUAGCUAGUAUGUUAUAGAUGAAGUAAGAAAAGUGUAGGUGUGUUGCGGUCACUUAUAUAACACUCGUACAACAUGUAUAAAAAAUAAAUACAUAUCGAAAAAGUUAUAUCAGUGUUCUCAAAAAUAUGAUUUUUUCUGUUUCAAUAUUUUAUAUAAUUACAUUCAAUUUUUUUAUUUUUUAGAAUUAUUUAAAUGUCAACGUGUCAAUCUUAACGUCUAGUUCCGUGUCAGAAAACAAUAUUAUAACUCUUACUAUUAAUGGAGUUAGUUACAUGAAUAUAAAACAAAGUGUGUUAUUGAGAAUUAGAUUAGUAUCUUAUAACAGACUAUUUUUAUACAAGUCUUUCUAAACGAUUCUCUAGCAAACACCAAAAAGAAAAGAAAAAUAUUUCAUGUUAGUUGUCAAUCCAUGUGCCUCUCACAUUCUCUGUGCUUCUAAUAAGCACCAUUGGUCAUUUCUUGGCUCAAUUUGAUUGUUUUUCUGACAUUUUCUAACUUUCAGGUUAAGCAAGUAUAAAAAACUACAAAUAAAGAACUUUCAUCAUACUAGAAGAGAAAAAUAAGGAAUAUUCUUUUGUUUCUGAAGGAGACAUGGAUGCAAAAUUUUCGCAAGUUUUUCAUAUUAAUAUAUAAAGUUCCCACCUUUCAUGAAUUCCCCAUCUUCAUGCUGAAGCACUUGCCAAUUUGUUAGGGAUGAAUAUGUAUAACACAAAGUUUGUAUACUCCAUUCAUUCAACCUCGAAAGUGUAAUUGACUUGUUAUUGAUAAGCCAAACAUGUUUUUAAUUUAUUUUAUUGAAUAGUUAACUUCGAAUUUUUUUUAAAUAAAAAACAUUUUCAAAUUAUAUUUUAAAAUAAUCAAUAUUACAAAUAAUUUAUCAAAUUAGUCAUAUUUCAAACAAACAAAAAAUUGUUGACAAGAAGAGUAACCACUAUGAGUAGCGCGUGCAUAUAAAAUUUGAAAGAAAACGUCAUACCCUAUGGCGACUGCAAGUGGCGCUGCAUGCAUCUUCUAGAAGGAUGCGCCACAGGCAGUGGCUACUGCUUUAUUUAGGAUUUCUAUAAAUAUUGCAUCCUCUCUCCAUCAUUUUUCACACAUCUUCUAAAUCUCAUCAAUAUUUCUUUAAAAUGUCUUCAUAUAUGUGUUCUUAUAUUCACAAGAGAAAUAACAAUUUAUUUGUUCGGCAGUAAAACUCCGAUGAAGAUUCGACUCUGGAACACAGAGACGUCUGAGCAUCUAAAUAGGAGUUUGAUAUGUUGGUUAGAUUAAUACAUUGUAAAGGGUGAAAAAAGCAGAAGAAUUUAAAGGCUAGUUACAAUGUAUAACAACAAUGGAGAAAGUCGUUUAUGGGACUCAAUUAAAACUGACAGAGAUGUUCGCAUUAUGAUGCACAUUUCUGAGAAAAUUGUCCGGAUGGUUGUAACCUUAAUCAUCUUCAUAUCCGCAUGGUCCCUCAUUUCAUUGGCAUGGGUAUGGUUCAAUACAAGAGAACGGGUAUCUUGGAUUCAAAUCUUUGUGCUUAUUGUUAAUUCCUUAGGAUUGGCAUUAAUUUUGUAAAACAAAUAAUGUAAUCAUCUCUGUUGUUUUAAUAUGUUGGGUUGAAGAAGUUCAACAUCUGGACCAACAUGUCAUGUACGAUGUCACACGACAUCACUGUGACAUCGUACAUGGUGAAAACAUAUUAAUUAUUCAGUAUUUAUUCUGGGUUAGUAAGGAUAUUUGGUGAAUAUCCUAACUCCCAUGUGAGUCUUGAAGACUCAAUCAGAAGAUAUAUAGGCUCAAAGUAAGGAGAUAUAUAUGGAGAGAUUUUAGGGAUUGAAGACCUUGUUUGUAGCCAGAAUUUUUCUGCUGAAAGUUGUAACAGCAAAGAAACAAGUCUGUGCGAUUUCUGAAGGCCCCAAAUCCAGUUGGGUGAUUAGUUAUAAAUAGCUAAUUGUAACCUAGUUUUUGUUAAGCCUCUUAGAAUGAAAAUUUAGGGGUGUGUGUGAGGUAAACCUCCCAAAUCUGUGGAGAGUUACCAUGUGUUUCUCAGUGGUAAAACCUGAGAGUUUUGUAACCCCGCACCCCACCGCCCGCGCCCCCCCCCCCGGCCCCCCCCCCCCCCCCGCCACCCCCCCCCCCCGCCCCCCCCCCCCCUCCCGCAGGCUGAGGCAAAGUGAUUUGUUUCUUGAAUGAAGCUGUGAAGCAAGUUCAAGGUGUGUUAACAUUACAUUGUAUUUGUAGUGAUAGGAAUGGAACCCUGGAGGUUUCUAUCUAGGAGUUCCUAGGUAAUGAUUCAUUGGUAGGAUAAGUGAAGAGUUGUAGAACGGGUGAGUUUAACUCUGAUUAAUACUGCUAAUAGGGAUCUUCUUCCUGAUUGGUAGCCCCCAGAUGUGGUUCAUGUUGGACUGACUGGUUAACAAUUUCCUGUGUUGUUAUCCAUUCUGCAUGAUGUUUAUUUACUGUCAUAAGCUCAGCAGGUAUUCCAGUCAGCUUAUCAAGCUGAUAACAGACCUGGUAUAUAGCCUUCUGUUUGAAUGUCAAUCAGAAAGGUGUGUAACAUUCAUCAGUGGGCAAGCGUAUACUGAAAAAGCAGGUUUAUUUUAGUAUCAGUAUUUAUUUUAGUCUGUUCUAUCAAGAGUAACAGACAUGGCUGAAGGAUCAGUGUGAAACUGUCAAACUGGAUGUUUUGACAGUUGUACUGAAGGCAUGAUACUGAAGUAGAAGACUGAGUUGGUCUUUUACAGUAGCUGCUAACUUAGCACAGUAUUUCCAGGAAAUAACAGAAUCAAACAUAUUUCUGGAUGUCGAACAGAAGGUCAUGACAUUCAUUCCCAAUAGCAAGGUGCUAAAGUGUAGGAAGAUUGGUUUUCAGUUCAGUAUUUUUCUCAGGCUAUUCUUCAGGGAUUCAAUAGCUGAGCUAAAAUCCAGAAAACCACUACUCACCUACAAUUAAUGAACCUAACAACUAGACCUAGUUGUUAGCAUCUAAUAAGUGGAAAUUAGAUUAACAUGUUCAACCUUAAUUCAGGAAAUCACAAGUAAAAGGAANNNNNNNNNNNNNNNNNNNNNNNNNNNNNNNNNNNNNNNNNNNNNNNNNNNNNNNNNNNNNNNNNNNNNNNNNNNNNNNNNNNNNNNNNNNNNNNNNNNNNNNNNNNNNNNNNNNNNNNNNNNNNNNNNNNNNNNNNNNNNNNNNNNNNNNNNNNNNNNNNNNNNNNNNNNNNNNNNNNNNNNNNNNNNNNNNNNNNNNNNNNNNNNNNNNNNNNNNNNNNNNNNNNNNNNNNNNNNNNNNNNNNNNNNNNNNNNNNNNNNNNNNNNNNNNNNNNNNNNNNNNNNNNNNNNNNNNNNNNNNNNNNNNNNNNNNNNNNNNNNNNNNNNNNNNNNNNNNNNNNNNNNNNNNNNNNNNNNNNNNNNNNNNNNNNNNNNNNNNNNNNNNNNNNNNNNNNNNNNNNNNNNNNNNNNNNNNNNNNNNNNNNNNNNNNNNNNNNNNNNNNNNNNNNNNNNNNNNNNNNNNNNNNNNNNNNNNNNNNNNNNNNNNNNNNNNNNNNNNNNNNNNNNNNNNNNNNNNNNNNNNNNNNNNNNNNNNNNNNNNNNNNNNNNNNNNNNNNNNNNNNNNNNNNNNNNNNNNNNNNNNNNNNNNNNNNNNNNNNNNNNNNNNNNNNNNNNNNNNNNNNNNNNNNNNNNNNNNNNNNNNNNNNNNNNNNNNNNNNNNNNNNNNNNNNNNNNNNNNNNNNNNNNNNNNNNNNNNNNNNNNNNNNNNNNNNNNUUCUUCCUGAUGCACAGAACCAGGUGUUCAUCCAUUCUAGGGUGACAUAGAAUGAGAUGUCGUGACAUCUGUGAACGUGUGCAUAUUAGUGGUUAAUAACUAUCUUGCUGUAUUAGUUACAAUGUUAGAUCAAAUGUCAUGACUUGGAGUAGAACAUCUGAAUUCUGACUAAGCCAGAAUUUCAAUUGGUAUCAGAGCAGGCAUCCUGUUCUGCUUCUGGAUGAAAUCCAUGGGUGAUACUUUCUGGUAUAUUGCAAGAAGUUAUGUUGGAACCAGUGGAAGGUUCUGUAAUUUCCAUGAAUGGUCCCUUGAAGUAGGUGGAUGGACUGUUCAUGAGAGAACUGAUGUGUACCUGUAUCUGGAGGUUGGCAAUUGGCCUGUGGAUGGGACAUUUGUGUCAGUAUUGAAUCACAUUCAAACUUGGUAUGGACUUGGAGGGUGAUCUGGUGAAAAGGGUGUUCUUAGGUUGAGUUGUAUUAUGAUUUCCGCUGCAUAAUACCUGGCAAAACUCAACCUCUGAUGUAGUUUUCCCUCAAGUGGAUGAAAGAAUGCUGAAUUCAAGAUUCCAUCAUACUCGAGUGAAGAUGUCAAAGAUACUUGAGUCCCAUAAAGUCCACUCUUCUUGGUAAGAAUCACCUGAUCACUGAUUCUUGUACUCUCCUGGUCAGUGGAUAUGAAAACCUUGAAGGCUUUCAAGGAGGGCCUGCUUCAGGGAGGUUAAACUGAUGUUAUAUGUGAUGUUAGAACAUGUUGUUCAACAAGUAUGCAGCUACUGGUUGAAGAGCAGAUGGUUUUAGGAGUCAAACAAAGGAAUACCUUGGUUUGAAACCUACUCCUGACCUGGAAGAGGAGACAUCUGUGUGAGCUAAGUUGACUAGGAUAGGGUCAACUGUGUGUAUGCUCAAGAAGGUCACUUUUAGAAGUUGGAUCUCUAGAAGUGGAGCUGGUUGAAAAGUGACACGGUGCAAUCCCCGCUGUGUGCCUUAUCCCUGUAGAUUGAUCAGGGUUGGGCAGUUGGUUUCUGAAGUACUAUAGUGUACCAGAAGACAUGUCCCCUGGAUGAUAGAAGUCAAUAAUAGGGCAACCUGACUGCUAUUCCAUUCAAGAGGAUUGGGACCAUGAAUCUUGUUAUUCAAACACCACGAUCAGAAGUGACAGUUCUUUCAAGGAGUGAGAAUAUGAAGAUUCAGAGGUUGGUUGAGGUAGUAUGCUCUGGCAAUGCAUAUCUACUAUGAACUAGUGUUGUUGUCUUUCACUAGUACUCAUGGUCAGCUGAAGUCUGAUUGGCGUGAUUGGAGUAAGUCUAGGUACAACUCAUAGAGUUAGGUGCCACUGGUAGGAAUGGUGUAUGUCAUGUUGAGACAUAUCUGUACAAUGCAUGGAGAUUGGUGUGAAGUUUCCAUGAUUGUUAAUUUGAGGGGGAGUUUUGGUUAACCUCCUCACAUUUGGUCAGCCUAGGGUCUGGUUGGCUGUUGACCUGUGUCACAUGGGUUCUGGUGGUUGUGUGACACACUUGCAAGGAAGAAUUCAUCUCUCUCAUUCCUAAGGGUGAAUUUAAUCUGGGAAGAUUUUCAAAAUUGUCUAGGUGCUUGCAAGCAGAAGAUGUUGACACAAGAAGAGUACUUUCAAAGUAUUCUUAUGGUGGAAGUAUCUGAAGGGAUGAUUGGGAAAGGAUUUAAGAUCAAUGUCUACUUGUGCCAAGUACAAGUGUUUAAUUGAUUAUCCUUGGAGCUCAAGAUAACUGAUGUUCUUAAAGAUGUUGGAACAUCACUUCUUCAAGACCCUGUGCAGAAUCACAGGAAGGAUAGUACAUUGGCUUAUGAUCUAUCUCUUUGGUGGCAGCAAAAGCAUAUGAUCUCUGAAAAGGUUUCCUGGCAAGAAACAUGUUCAGCCUUGGUAUGUACAAGAAGAAGAAGACAUCAUAGUCUUGAUGGUGGUUACUUGGAUCAGUUUAUUUCUGAUCUAGGUAAGGAAGUGCAUUAGCUUAUGCACACUGUGGAGUCAAGAACAAGUGGCAGCAGUCUUGACAUCAUGGAAACAGCCUUGCCUUAGGAUGUGGAAUCCUUGGUAGAGCUGAAGGGUUAGUUUCUAACUGGUCCUUCUGAAGACUCAUACAUCAGAGUGUCUGAUGUCUUUGGAGAAGAAGCAGGGAUUCAUCAAGGUGUGAGCUUGGAUGACUUAACUGCAAACCUGCAGGAUGGAGGUUGUUUACUCAAACUUGGUUCCACAAUCAAGUCUAUGAGAACAUUGAACUCUUGUUCUGUGAAGGGAGGAAGUUCUUUCAAGUGGCAGAAGAAGGAGCUGAAUUCAACAGCUAGAUGUCAAAACACAAUGUUGUGACAUUUGGUUCAACAUCAGAUUCUUAGUUGGUGAAGUGGCACAUCAACUUAAGAUAGAAGGGUCUACAGAGUUGUAGAUUGGGUACUUCAAAAGGAUCGUUCUCAUUGCAGUUCUUAGGAGUUGCUGGUUGGAGAAGAUGUUACAUGUUCAUGUCUUAGAGACCCUAAGCUUUGUUUAACAUGUAACUUGAAGUUCAAAUCUCACUUGGAAGAUCAGAAUAUCUUUGGGAGAAGUCUGAUAAACUUGGGGAGGUCAAAAAGCAGCAUUUGACCUUUUCAUAUGAGGAUUCAUGAAGGAGGUAAUCAACCAGUGGCAUUUGGUCUAUCUCAGAAGUGAGUUCGAAGAAUCAAGAUAAUCCAUAUAUGGCAGCUGAUUAUUCUUGAGGAAAGUCUGAGACAAAUUACUUUUGAGCAGAAAAGUAGUAAGUUGAAGACAAAAGGAGGUGUUUUCUAUUCAUCCCUUGGAGCUUGUGGUAGGAGUUCUGAGCCAUCUAUGGAAGAUUAUCUCUUGUAAUGGGAUGAAAAUGUAUAUGUCCCAAUGUAUGUCUGGGUUCUUCUUGAUCAACCCGGUGACUCAGUGAUAUCUGAAGACUAUCAGAUGGUGUGCCUUGUCCUGUUAUGAAGGAUGUCCCAGCUGAUGUUAGAACAUCUUGUGAAGUGGUCUUCUGUUCUGGUUAGAAGAGAGAUUGACACAGAGUGUGAAUGUGUUCAGCUAAGAGGGUUGAACAGAGGGUGUGCUCUUGAAGACAUGAAGAUGCGUCUUAUGUUUUCCAUUCAUCAAGUGGUCUGGAUUCUCUUUGAAUCAGGAAGUAUGUGAAGGUCCAACUUUGGGGUGUUGGAUAUGCUCAUGUGUGACCUCCAAGUGUCAAGAGGAGAGUAGGGUGUCCAUGACAGGGGGAGUUCUGUCUUUGAAGCUGCAAGUAAUUAUCAAGCUUGUGGUCUUUGUGUACUCAGAUAACUAGGUAUGGCACCUUGUCAGUUAUCAGGAUGCUGUGAUGUAUGUCAAGGCUGAGUGAGCAGAAGAAUGUCUGACCGGAUGUCAUGACAUUGCCCUGGACAAUGCUGCUAAUUCCUUCUGAAUCUUAAAAUCAGUAGGAAUUAUGAAGGUGAUGUGUCAAAUUCUGAUAAAUCAGAAUAAGCCUGAUGGCUACAGCUGUGUGGUACAGGGGGAGUAACCAUCUGCUGAAGUGUGGGAAUUUGACUGUAGCAGUGCCAGAUGUCAAGUCUCUACUGGAGGUAUGACAGGAACCUUGGGAAAUGUUGAAUACUGGCAGAAUGCAGGAAAAAGCCGCGUGGAAUGUUAAGACAUCGCGUGCAACGUGUCUGACUGCAUAUAUGGAAUAGUCUCCAUGCACUGGAACUGCUGUUUUGGAAAAGAAACAGUCAAGAGCUAUAAAAGGUAUUCAAAGAUAGUCUGAGAUUUUGUUGGUGAUUCCCUGACUGUUUCUCAGCAAACAUUAAUGAAUCUUGACCAAGCAUUAAUUCCGACCGUUAAUUCCUAAGCACGAGCUGGACUAUUUAAAGGAUGUAUUAGCCCUCUUCUUCUCACAAGAGAAACACUCCAUUCCUUCAGAAUCAAGGGGUAUGUUAAGGUCUGGGCAAGCUGCGCCUGGAUCUGGUUUUGUGAGGGGUGCCUUUACAAAUGUUUAGCUAAAAAGGGGGAGAGAAAUACAGUCCUGGGUAGUAAACAGAAGCAAGCUAACUGUGGUAGUAAACAGAAGUUGGAGUUGGUGUCAAGCACAAAAGUUGGUGUCAAGCACAAAAUCCACCAACUGGGUGUAUCACUUGUGUCUUGUGAUCUGAGUUAAUAGGACAGUUGUGUCUUGUGAUCUAAGUUACAUUAUCUAUGUACUCAGUAUUACAUAUUCUUCCGGAAGCUCUCCGGUUGAGGGGAAAGGUUCUGGUACAACUGAUCCGUGCACCUCUUCUUCCCCAUGUACACCAUCUUUGGUGCUUGUGGUGGUGGAGCCAAUGACAGAGAUGAAGAGCAUUCCCAAAUUGGGAUGUUUUGUCCAGUGUAUUGUUUAUUUGUUUUAACUAAAAUUUGCCAAAGGGGGAGAUUGUUAAUUCCUUAGGAUUGGCAUUAAUUUUGUAAAACAAAUAAUGUAAUCAUCUCUGUUGUUUUAAUAUGUUGGGUUGAAGAAGUUCAACAUCUGGACCAACAUGUCAUGUACGAUGUCACGACAUCAUGCCUGUGACAUCGUACAUGUGUAGAAAACUGAAUUAAUUAAUUCAGUAUUUAUUCUGGGAUUAGUAAGGAUAUUUGGUGAAUAUCCUAACUCCCAUGUGGAGGUCUUGAAGACUCAAUCAGAAGAUAUAUAGGCUCAAAGUAAGGAGAUAUAUAUGGAGAGAUUUUAGGAUUGAAGACCUUGUUUGUAGCAGAAUUUUUCUGCUGAAGUUGUAACAGCAAAGAACAAGUCUGCUGCGAUUUCUGAAGGCCCAAAUCCAGUUGGGUGAUUAGGUUAUAAAUAGCUAAUUGUAACCUAGUUUUUGUAAGCCUCUUAGAAUGAAAAUUUAGGGGUGUGUGUGAGGUAAACCUCCCAAUCUGUGGGAAGGUUACCAUGUGUUUCUCAGUGGUAAAAGCUGAGAGUAUUUGUAACUCAAAGCCUGUAGGCAAGAGUGAUUUUGUUCUUGAAUGAAGCUGUGAAGCAAGUUCAAGGUGUGUUAACAUUACAUUGUAUUUGUAGUGAUAGGAAUGGAAACUGGAGGUUUCUAUCUAGGAGUUCCUAGGUAUAGAUUGCAUUGGGUAGGGAUUAAGUGAAGAGUUGUAAACGGGUGAGUUUAACUCUGAAUUAAUACUGCUAAUAGUGGAUCUUCUUCCUGGCUUGGUAGCCCCCAGAUGUAGGUCAUGUUGGACUGAACUGGGUUAACAAUUUCCUGUGUUUGUUAUCCUUCUGCAUGUGUUUUUUACUGUCAUAACUCAGCAGGUAUUCCAGUCAGCUUAUCAAGCUGAUAACAGACCUGGUAUAUAGCCUUCUGUUUGAAUGUCAAUCAGAAUGUUGUAACAUUCAUCAGUGACAGCGUAUACUGAAUAACAAGCAGGUUUAUUUUAGUUCAGUAUUUAUUUAAGUCUGUUUUAUUCAAGGAUAACAGACCUGGCUGAAGGAUCAGUGUGAAACUGUCAAACUGGAUGUUUUGACAGUUGAUACUGAAGGCUGAUACUGAAGUAGAGACUAGUUGGUCUUUUACAGUACUGUUAACUUAGCACAGUAUGUUUCCAGGAACAUAACAGAAUCAGCAUAUGUUCUGGAUGUCGAACAGAAGGUCAUGACAUUCAUUCCCAAUAGCAGGUGCUAAAGUGUAGGAAGAUUGGUUUUCAGGUUCAGUAUUUUUCUCAGGCUAUUCUUCAGGGAUUCAAUAGUUGAGCUAAAAUCCAGGAAACCAACUACUAACCUACAAUUAAUGAACCUAACAACUAGCGUAGUUGUUAGCAAUCUAAUAAGUGGAAAUUAGAUUAACAUGUUCAACCUUUAAUUCAGGAAAUACAAGUAAAAGACAAACACACAGGAACAAUGUGACAGAUGAUAACUGUGUUAGAAAACAGAGUGCUAGGAUUGAUCACUGUUGAGUCUUUUACCUGAAUGCACAGAACCAGUGUUCAUCCAUUCUAGGGUGACAUAGAAUGAGAUGUCGUGACAUCUGCGAACGUGUGCAUAUAAGUGGUUAAUAACUAUCUUGUGUAUUAGUUACAAUGUUAGAUCAGAUGUCAUGACUUGGAGUAGAACAUCUGAAUUCUGACUAAGCCAGAAUUUCACUUAUACCUAGUGGAAACUAGGGUUUCCUAGCAGCUUGAGGUUGCUCAGUAAACCAAACCCUAAUUGGAGGUAUCUCUUGAUGCAUGUGUAUGUGCUAGACAUUGAAGAUUCAAUUAUGGCUUCUUGAUGAAGAAAAACUCUAGUUUGGGAUUUCCACUUGAUCAUGGUCUCAUAAACCCUAAUUAUGGCUAUCACUCAUUGUGUGUGCACCUAACCCUAAUUUCAUCUGAUUAUUCAUCAUCCAUUGUGUAUGCUUCACUUGUUUGACCAAGAUUCAUUCAAUAACCACUUGUUCGUGGUCUAUUAUGGGGGGUUUCUUUGGUUUGAUUAGCAUUCAUUUCAUGGCCUUACAUGGUCAUCUUUUGCUUGAUGGUAUCUAUUAAGUUCAAGCCCAUGACAUCAGAACUUUCUUUUGAUUUCUUUCAUUCAUGGUAUUUCAUUUGAUAAUUUCCUCAUUCUUAGCCCAUAGCUUGUUCAUGUCUUAUUUGGUUUCAUUUCAUCUGGUCACUCCUAGUGCAUGGUUCAUUUAUGGUUUGUCCAUAUGUCCAUUGGUUCAUGUACGCAAUCUCAUUGUCAAUUGGUCCUUGCUAAGGCCUAAUGUGAUUCAUUUAAGUCUUAUCAUGUUAUCAUUCAUUCAAGGGUUGAUUUCAAGAGGUUUGGAUAUGGUUCAUUCAAGGUCAUUUGUGAUGUCAUUCCUUCCAUUUUCAAUACCAUAGUUUGUUAAUCAAGUCAUUUUCAUUUCAAUACAUCAUUCAUUAUAAACCAAAUUCAAAUCCAUUCAUUAAUACCAAAUACCACAUUCAUUACAAAUCACCAAAUGUCCAUACAUAAAAAAGAUGCACACCACUUUGACCAAAUAUCGACUUUGGUCAACAUAUGACUUUUUUGGUCAACUUUGACCAAAGUCAACCCAUCUAUUUCAUAAAGCCCUAAACUUCAUGUCCAUUCAUGGCAAUUAUGUGUGGCAAAAAAAGGGAAAUUUUUGAUUAAAUUUUGAAUCAAAGAUCAAAUGGAGUAAGUGUUUAUUGCAUGAGUCAUGGUUUUCCCAUUUUUCAAAUGAUUGUAUCAUGUGUAUUGGUGGCUUUCAAAUCAAGUCAUUUUGUUCAAGUUUCUUGAAACGCGGAUGUCCUAUACCAGUUACAUCACGGAGCGGACAUCUCAUUCAACAUAAAAGUCGAGACUUGGUUGAAUCAUUUUAUGGAAAGGAGCAGAAUUCGAGAUAUUGAACAACAUUGGAAAAAGAAUCUAAUGCAAAAAUUACAGGGGUACCACCUACAGAUUUAGCCAGCGACAUAAGUUUUGAUUCGUUUUAAUUUCUUAUUUAACUGGACAAUAAUUGUAUGUAAUUGUGUCUCAAUAUAAAUAAGUGUUAUAUAUUCACCUUUUGUUCAUAUUUGUCUUAUGUUUUUUCUUUCCUCCAUGACAACAUUUGUUUUUGUCAAUGAAAAAACAGUUAUGUUUUAAUGUUCUGUUUUGAAUUGGUUCAGGACAAAUUCCAGAGAUGCAUCUCUGAACAAAGAUAAUAGGGUACGGUUCCGAGAUAUAUCUCUGGGAAUCAACAUAGUCAGUUAAUAGUGGCCAUAUUGAUCUUGGCUCUUCUUAUAUAUCUAGGUGCUCUUAUGUUAUAUUUCACAAAACUGGAAAAUGUCUAAAUCGUCACAAAUAACACGUCCAUUGCUAUGUACACGAAUGUCUCCUUCUCCGACUUUACACCCAAUGAGAAAUAUUUAAUAAUUUUUAAUAAAUAACAUUAUGAUUAAAAAAAACAUAUAAUAACCUAUAACAAUCAAUACGAUAUAAACCAUAUAUCUAAUUUCUAAAGUAAAACAAUGAAGAUGUUACAAAAAUAACUAUUGUCCAUACUAUUUGUUUUUAUAAACAUGUUAUUGCUUGUAGUAAACAUGUUAAUACUAAUAUAUAGCACUACUCCCUGUCGUGUGUGCUGGGGGGCGGGGGAGCGGGGCGGGCGGGUGGGGGGGGGGGGGAAGGCGGUGUGUGUGUUGGCUGUGUGUGUGGCGUGUGUGUGUGCUGUGUGUGUGUGUGUGGUGUGUGCGCGUGCGUGUGUGUGUGCGUGCGUGCGUGUGUGUGGUGUGUGUGCGUGCGUGUGCGCGGCGAGUGUGUGUGUGUGUGGGUGCGUGCGCGACGUGCGUGCGUGAGUGCGCGCGUGCGUGAGUGCGUGAGUGCGUGCGUGGUGUGUGUGUGUGUGUCGUGCGUUCGUGGUCGUGUGUGUGCGUGCGGGCGUGCGUGCGGUGUGCGUGUGUGUGUGGGUGUGUUGUGUGUGUGUGUUGUUUGUGUGUGUGUGGUGUGUGUGCGGUGUGUGUGCGUGUGUGUGUGGGGGUGUGGUGUGGGUGUGUGUGCGUGUGAGUGUGUGUGUUGUGUGCAUGCGUGUUUGCGUGCGUGCGUGCGUGCGUGUGUGUGUAUGUGUGUGUGUGUGUGUGCGUGCGUGCAUGCGUAUGCGUGUGUGUGUGUGUGUGUGUGUUGUGUGUGCGUGCGUAGGCGUGCGUGUGCGUGAGUGCGUCGUGCGUGCGUGCGUGCGUGCGUGUGUGUGUUGUGUGUGUGUGUGGUGUGUUGGUGUGCGUGCGUGCAUGCCGUGUGCGUGGGUGCGUGUGGUGCGAAGGGGUGCGUCGCGUGGGUGCGUUGCGUGCGGUGUGUGUGUGUGUGUGUGCGGUGCGUGCGUGCGUGCGUGGGUGGCGUGCGGGGUGUGUGUGGUGUUGACGGAUCACGUUGAUACUUGAUCUAUUAACAUGUUUAUACUUAAAUAUAAUCUUAAUAGUUCUUGCCAACUAUUAUUUAUAUUCAACAUACAUCAGAUGGAUCACGUUGAUACUUGAUCUAUUAAAAUAAAAUAGAUAACCAUGUUUAUAAUAUUUAUUGUUUAUUGUCUUGAAAUAUAAUAUUACAUAGAUUUUAUUUAAGUAUUUGAAAUAGAUAAACCAUGUUCACCUAAUACUUAUUCAUCCGUUUAAAAUAGAUAUCACUAUAGGUAUAACAUCUACAGAAACCACUGACACACUUGCUUAUUGUAUGUUCAGUGCAUCUACAUUGGUGAUCGUUUGUACAAGCCCUACCUAUAAUAAAAAAAUUAUUUAUAUUGUUAAAAUGAGAUAAAAUAUUUUCUUUACAAAGGAAUAAGAAAUAAAAAGUUAAAAUGAAAUUUGAAGAAUAAAAUGGCUCACCAUCAACAUUUGAUGCAACAAAAAAGAAAAAAAGGAAUAUAAACACAACGUACAACUUGAGAAUUGAAGCCAUUUCUUUUUCUCUUUUUUAUGAGAUAGAUAAAAUAAUAUUUGAUCAAUUUAUAGUGUAUAAACUCGAACAUCCCAUAUAAAAAAAUAAUAAAAUUAAUGUCGCUUAGGUGACUAAAUUGGUUGUAUUGUUCUUUGAUCAGACUUAAUAAAUUUGUCACAUAAAAUACUAUCUAAUAAUAAUAAGUCAUUAUUUUUAUCCAACUUAUAAUUUUUUUAAGCUUUCAUGAUAAGAAAGAGACAACAAUUUGUUAGACCACAUGAAAAUUGAUCCAAAAAAUUUAGAAAUGGUAGCUAAAUUUGUCUCUAAUUAGAUAAAAAUGAUUAAUAUGAUAUAUUUUGUAGUGAUAAAAGGUUAAUAUAAACCUUUUUUAAGUUAAAAGAUCAAAAUCAACUCCAAAGUUAACAAUCAGGAUAAAAGUGUAAUAAACCUUUUUUUAAACUUUCAUGAUAGGAAAGGGACAAUAAUUUGUUAGACCACAAAAAUUUCAUAUGCAGGAAUAAUUAGGACCAGUCUGGUAAAAUAACAAAAUCUAAUUCUUAGCACAAAGCCUCUCAAACUUGAUGCCCACCAUGUAAAACACCUUAGAGUUUCCUAUUAAAAGUGAUUUUAAGUUGAAUGGAGUGUUUGCAAAAUAUUUUGAAUCGUAUCAUAAUUUUCUCUGUUUCAUGUAAUAUUGACUACAAACUGUUGGGUGAGAAUACAUGGGUGCAAUAAUGAAUAGGGUGUGAUUAGACCUCCCAAAUAAAAUAUACUGAUUUGAAAAAUAAUUUUGAAAUUUUUUUAUAGUUUGAAAAUAAAAAUAAAUUAUGUGGUGGAAACAAUGUGCAUAUAAAAUGAUUAUGCUUAUCAAAUGGUAUGUACAUGAGACACCUCAAUCAAUAUACAAUACGAUAAAAUAUCGAAUCAAAAAGCUAGCCAAAAAAUUACCAAAAAGAGUAUUGAUUUAAUAUCAAAUUUAUACAAGACGUGUAAAUAUACCAAAUCAAUACAACAAAGAAUUUUACGACUACACUUUCAAGACUUUAUCAAUAACAAGAUAAUUUGAAGUGUGGAUUCUAAUAGAACCUACACUUCAUUGAUAAAUCACUCUCAAGGAAAAAAAACUAACCUCAUACAGUUAUACGAAAGUGGUAAAAACGACCUAAACAUACAAUUUUGCAAAAAUUGUGUGUGUGUGUGUGUGUGCGUGUGUGUUAUGUGUGUGUGUGUGCGCGUGUAUUGUGUGUGUGUGUGUGUGUGUGUGUGUGUGUGCGUGUACGUGUGCGUGUGCGUGUGCGUGCGUGUGUGCGUGUGUGUGUGUGCGUGUGCGUGCGUGUGUGUGUGUAGGUGAAUGAUGGAUGCAAUAUACAUGCUAAGAUUUGUUCGCAUGUGUGAAGGGAUGAAAUUCCCGUGACUUGAAGAAUUGGCAAAAGGCGUGAAGUAAUCGUGACUUAAUUUGAAUUGGGAGGAGCAUGGAGAACUCAUGAUAAUGAGUGUGAAGGAAAGAAUCUGACUUGUAAUCUUUGGUUUUUCUUUUGAUGUAAUUGGAUAUUAGUGAGCUUUUUUGGGAAUUAGUUUGGAUUGUAGUGUUGUUUGAAAUGUGAACAGCAUCACAAUCACAUCAGAGGAGGAGGAGAAUACACAGACAAGUCACAACACACAUUUUUCUUAGUUUUUAAUUUUAUUUGCUCAAAAGUUUAAGAGGUAUUCAAGUUAUGAAUCACCUCUGAAUUGUUCUUGAGCUAAAUCAAAUAACAAACAUGUUACCUUCGAAUCCAGCAAGAGAAAAAGAAAGAUAGAGCAUAAAGAAGUAAUAGAGGAAGAAAGAAAAAAAGGUUUAAAGCUUACCUAAAAUGGGAUCGAAGCAGCCUUUUCCUAAUCUGGGUAGAUCUUUGCAUUUUUGUUUGCUCUUUGUUCAUUUCAGACUCAUGUAGCCUUCAAUCCAUUUUCCUCUUUGUUGUUUGCCCUUGUAAUUUGUAAACGAAAAAAAAAACAUCAAUGAGUUGGGGAUAUUGGGCUUGAAAGGGGUUAAGGGUUAUUUUCUCAUGUUUGAUUUCAUAUGCUUUAAUGAUUGCAUGAUCGAUGAUGAUUCUUGUGGAUUCUAUAUCUAGGUUUAGUAUUUAAUUGUUGAAACUGGAUCUUGCGUGAGUGAUAGUUGUUCUUGGUGUGGAAAGAUUGUUAUUAUUCAUUUGUGUUUUUUGAUUUAGUGCGAAGAAGCUUCAUCCAUGGAGUUUUUUGGUAAUGUGAGAGAGAUGAGAGAAUUGAAGAAGAGGGACAUACUUAAGAAAUAUGGGAGAAAGGUUGGUAUGGUUAAUAAGAGAGAGAGAGAGAGAAGUGCGAAGAAGCUUCAUCCAUGGAGUUUUUUGGUAAUGUGAGAGAGAUGAGAGAAUUGAAGAAGAGGGACAUACUUAAGAAAUAUGGGAGAAAGGUUGGUAUGGUUAAUAAGAGAGAGAGAGAGAGAGUGUAAUUUUCACUUGAUUUUUUUAAUAUUUGAUUUCUUUUUAAUGUUUAUUGUUUCCAAUAAUUAGUAAUAAAUGUGAUUAAUGGGUUAAUAGGGGGCAAGUGGCGGCCGAGUAUACUUAGUUUUCUAGUUUUUUUUAGAGAAUUUCUUAAAGCAUCCUAGAUCUUUCUACUGCAUAACGUGAAUUUCCAAAAAUGUUCCCCAUUUUUGGAGAUACAUCUCCGGACGCACCUUUUGCACACUCAAGUAAAGCCAUUAUGAGAGGUGCCUUAUAUGUUGGAUAAUAUUUAUCCUAGAGAUGCAUAUCUGGAAUCUUUUAAGAAAGACCUUAAUUAUUUAACAGUUCAGUAGAUAUUCCGGAGAUGCAUCUCUGGAAUUAUAAGCAACAUUUUGAAAUUUACAUCACCUUUACAUGUCAGAUAUUUCCAGAGAUGCAUCUCCACGGUCCAGCACCGGAGGCAAAUUGGAUGCGCUUCCCUGAAAUGAGUCACCUAAUAGCAUGUGCGUAUGAUAGAGUGUGUAUUGACCUGACACGCUACGGUUUUUCAGAAACCUUUUUCCCACUGCGCAUCGCCCCACCCCCAAAAUCAAAAUGAUUGUAUCAUAUGUAUUGGAUGGCUUUCAAAAUCAAGUCAUUCUGUUCAAAUUUACUUGAAAUCAGGAUGUCAUAUACCAAUUACAUCACCGAAGUGGAUGACUCAUUCACCCAUAAAAGUCGAGACUUUGCCGAAUCAUUUUAUGGAAAGGAUGAAAGAAUUCGAGAGAUUGAACAACAUUGAAAAAGAAUCAAAUGUACAAAAUUCCAAGGGGGUACCACCUAUAGAUUUAGCCGGUGACAUAUGUUUCGAUUCGUUUUAAUUUCUUGUUUAAUCGGACAAAUAAUUGUAUGUAAUUGUGUCUCAAUAUAAAUGAAGUGUUAUAUAUUCACCUUUUGUUCAUAUUUUGUCUUUAUGCAUUUUUUAUCUUUCCCAUGACAACACUUGUGCUUUUGUCAAUGAAAAAAUAAGUUUUGUUUUAAUGUUCUGUUUUGAAACUGAUUCAGGACAAGUUAUUGAGAUGCAUCUCCGAAACAAGAUUAGAGGAUGCGGUUCCAGAGAUAUAUCUCUGGAAUCAAUAUGUCAGUUAAUGAGUGGUCCAUAUUGAUCUUUGCCUUCUAUAAAUAUAGGUGCUCUUAUGUUAUAUUUCACACAAACUGAAAAAUGUCUAAAAUGUCACAAAUAAACAUCCAUUGUAUGUUACAGAUGUCUCCUUCUCCGACUUUACACUCGAGUGAACGUUUAAGCUCACCAAUUCCACUUCCCUCGAAGAUAUCAAAGAUGAAAUCCACUAUCUCCUACCUUACAGAGACAAACAAAGGAUUGUGAAGCUCGAAUACCGUUCACCAUCGAUUGACAAUGAAGGGAAGAUUGAGCUCAAUAAAUUUAAGCUCAAGACGCAAGCGAAUGUUAGGGCUAUGUGGGAUACGUAUUUUUGUUUCAAAACAAAAAUUCCGCUCAAGUUGGAAGCGAUGCUACAAAGAUCGGUCGAAGAUAUUCUGAAGAUGUACAAGCGUCUACCAAGAUAUUGAAAUGUAAUAUUGUAGUUUAUGUUGAAAUCAUCUUUGUAAUGCUUAUUUUAUGUUAUGAAUGUCAAUUUCAUUUUGAAAAAUUAUUUUUCUAUUGAUUCUGAUAUUGGUGUGUCUCUCCGGAAAUGUAACUCUGGAAUAAAGUAAACAAAAAAAAGGCGUAACUCAUAAUGACCUUUAUUCAGUGUGUGUUAGAGUACAUUUUGAAAAAUUAUUUUUCUAUUGAUUCUGAUAUUGGUGUGUCUCUCCGGAAAUGUAACUCUGGAAUAAAGUAAACAAAAAAAAGGCGUAACUCAUAAUGACCUUUAUUCAGUGUGUGUUAGAGUACUUCCGAAGAUACAUCUCCAAAAUCAGAGGACAUUUGUAAAAAUUCACAUAGUGCAUUAGAAACAUCUAUGGUGCCAAAAAAAAAUCUCUUUUAUAAUAUCAAAUUCUCUCUUCUCAUUUCCAGGGGGUGAGUGGCCCUAACGUUAAUCUGAUGAAAAACAAAGAAAAAAAACACAAAAACAGCGUUGGGCAUAAGCUAUUGGCCCUACGCCAAAACCACUAGCCAUCUCCCUUUAUUCAAGUCUUGCACCCUCCUUAUUUUAUUGAGAUUAAUUAUUAUGCAUUGUUAGUGUAAAAAGUUUUACACUAUCGAUUCAUCACUAUCACCCGUUUACAUUACUUUAUAGAUUUUUAAAAUAAAAGUCAAACUUGUUUCAUUAUCCAACGAUUAUGAUUAACUGACGGUGUAAGAUCCUUUUACACUGUCAGUGUAUUUCAAUUAAAUCCUAUUUUAUUUGUUUAUUUUUUUAACUUUACUUUUUUAUUUAUCAUUUUAGUUUAGUAUUUUAGAUAAUCAAAACUAAAAAAAAAGUACAAUGAUGCUUCCGUUUUCAUUAUUCAAAUAAAUUUCAAAAAAUAUGUAUAAUAGUAGUAUUUUUCGUUGUCAAAAUUAAUUCCAAAAUCUUUCCACGAUAAAACUUUCUCAGCCAACAAUUAUACUAGUCCAUAAUCUUUCCAACAACUUUACGUAAGACAGAUCUCCACGAAAACUCCAUGAAGGAUGUGUCUUGGCGUCUCCAUACUUCUGCAUAUACGGAUAACAAUGACAGAGUGUGUAUCAAGGCGAUUUUCGUUGCAUCUCAAGGCUGCCACGAGGCAUACCUAACGAAACAUCUCUAUGAGGAGCGUCGUUCAUGUCUCCGUAUUCAAUUCACUCCUUGGAAGCAUAGUAUAUGUAUGUCUCCACUGAGCAUUAGUGAAGUGCACAAGGUGAUAAACGAAAUGCCCAAAGGAAAAUCAGAGGUUGCAGAGACAGUGAUAUUUGGGUCUGAGUCUCAAAAUUAGUGUCCUACAAACGCGACUCGGAAAUGUGUCAAUUUUGUGGAUCUAAUCAACCAUCUGGACAUAACAGAAUUAUCCAUCAUGUACUAUAUUGCUUGCCACCGCUUUCUGCUGACAAAUCUGCAUGACAUUUUGAAGAGGUAAGUGGUAUGAAAAGGCUUCAUGGUUCUUGGUAGUUUUGUAUGGUUCUUCGAGAGCAGUUAUAUGAAAAGCAGUUUGUCAUCGGAUAAAAGGCUUUUAACUUUUGACCCUGUGUCAUCCAAGAUAUUAAGGCAUUCUAUAUGAGACAAAAUGAUGAUGGAAAGACAGUUGCAGCCAUGGGCGUGUUGGUUCCGAAGGUAGUUAUAAGAUAUAUCUAAUAUAUAACUACUACUGAGUAAUGUUUGCAGGCAACAAAUUCUCAGUACUAUCCAAAAAAGUAGAAACUUGGGUUUGAAGGUACUUCAAAAAAGAAAACAUAUUUUUUGUCUGAUUAAUGUUAUUAAGCUGAGCUCUGGUUGUUUGUUUAGUGAAAUAACAAAGGAGUUAUUCCAAGGUAUAUAUUACAGUUUAAUGAUUAUGGGAUGGUGAAGCCUCUGUGAUUAUAUAAAGAUAGACAGUAGUAGUAUGCUUUUGUUUUUGGACUAGCAGAACUAUAUGCUCGUUGUUAUGAUUUAGUUUCACUCUCUUCUGGUUAGAUUGGUGAACUUAUUGGUGGAAGCCAAAGAGAAGAGCAACUUGAGCAUUUAAAAGCUCGUUUAGAUUUUUUAAAGUUGAAUAAGGAUGCAUAUUGAUGGUAUCUUGAUUUGCUUCAAUAUGGACCAGUUCCUCAUGCUGGUUCUGAUUUGGAUUUUGAAAGACUUGUCCAGUUUGCAACGGGAAUGGAUGAUAUAAGAGACGUUAUUCCUUUUCCUAAAACAUCUGGCACGGCCGAGUUCUAAUCUUUUAGACCCCAACAAAAUUGAUGUGUGACUUUCUCUCUGCUGGUUUUUCUAUGUGAUUUUGCAGGUUUGCAGGCAUUUGUCGUCGACUUUACGAUGCGUCUGCACUAGGGUUGCGCAGGAUGCAGGAAUAGGUGGUUGGUUGUUGGUGCGUACUGCAGCUCUUUGCAGUUUGGAUUUGCAUAUCCCAUGUUUAGUGCAUAGUGCUGAUAUCAACUCAACAGUUUCUCAGUAAUUUCUUGGACAGCCUUAUUUUUCUGUUGUGGAGUAGAAGUACUUGAUUAACUUAUGUUGUAGUUAUAAUUCUUAUGUUUUGUAAGAGAGUAUAGUUUGGUAGAUUGGAAUAUGUUGUGGAUAAAGACAUAUCCGACUAGAUUAUGCUUCCGGGUUGGGAUGCUUGAUUGCUUUGGUUUAAAUACAUCACCACACAUAUACCGGCAUCGAGCCGAACAGCUGUAGCCAUCAUCAACACUGUCGAGUGCAAUCCGCCGAGGCAUUAAAGUAUGGUUUACAAAUCCUAAGAGUUUGAAUUUUAUUCAUAUAGCUCUGAACCGAAAGAUUGUGCAGGUGAGUUACCCUCUAGUUGGUUUUACAGUUUCGGUUCACUUUCCCAUGCAGCAUGUGAAGCGCCAUUGGUGCUUCCAUUGGGAGGUUUCACUUAUGGAGAAAAAUGUCUAUUCCUAGUUAAUGAUUGGCAUGCCAGCUUAGUUCCAGUACUUUUGGCAGCCAAGUAUAGCCCGUAUGGGGUAUAUUAGGAUGCACGUAGUAUAGUAGUGAUUCACAAUAUUGCACACCAGGGGUGAAACCUGCAAUUACAUAUAGCAAUUUGGGGCUGCCUUAUGAAUGGUAUGGAGCCCCCCGGAGUGGGUGUUCCCUACAUGGAUGAGGAUGCAUGCUCUUGACACAGGCGAAGCUGUCAAUUUUCUAAAAGGCACCAUUGUUACGGCUGAUCAGAUAGUAACAGUAAACAAGCUUUUGUUACAGCAUCUUUGUAUACAGCAUGAGAACUUUAAAUCAAGACCUGAAGUGGGUGCCAGCGGGAUGUCUCUUUGACAUUGGCACUUGUUGAAUUUGUGUACCAUCUCAAUUGCAUCUUUUUAUAUUGUUGGCUAAUAAUUGCCAGCUUGUGUUAAUUGUUGUUAGCAGUCCAAAUCUUGCUGCUAAAAGGAAACUUUCAAGGAUUAUAGCAAUCUCGUUACACAUGUUUUAGGUGAGUCAAAAUGUUCAGAUCCCAUUCUCCACUAUAAUGAUAGUGCACUUAGCGUCAUGAGAACUCAUCAUGAUCAUGCAAAGAUAAAUCCCAUCAAGUGCAUUAAUAAACAAGCUUGGUUAUAGAUGUAACGAUUCAACCAUAGCACAACCGAGUCACACCUAUCACCUGUGAACAACAUGUAAUUAAUUUGGAUAAUUGUCAGCUUGUGGUAAUUGUUGGCUUAUGAUCCUUUCAAGAUGGAUAGUUUUCUUUCAUCGAGAUGUCGCUUUCAUACCCCUUCAUGUAUUUUCUUAAAGAAUCCAUUGUCGUAAUUGUCUGCAAACCAUUACAUAUUAUGUAAAGAGAUAAAAGGCAACAAGUCGUGUCGUUGCAUACUAAAUAUGUCAAAUUGAAACAAGAGUAGCAAACUACAACACAAUAAAAUUAGGGGUUGGACAAAUACAAGGAUAUAUUUUAAAUUAAUUAUCUUUAUUGUCGAAAAAGGCGAGCUAUAUUUCUAUGUCAUUCGUAACUAAUUUAGAACUUAUAUUAAGUAAAUAAGUGUUGUUCCUUUCUUCUACGAGGACAAGAGACAUCUUCUCUUUUCUAAACUCUUAAAAUUAUGCAGGAUAAUUGUCGAAACAAAGACCGGAGAGAGACUUACCCUCUAAUAAAAGUAGGGACUGAGAACGACGAAGACCUCCUCAAGAGACAGAUCGGGUCACGUUAAAUAAAUCUCUGACCUUAAGCAAUCGGCCACAUAAAUGCCAAACCUCUGGUCGGAUCGGGUGAAAUAAAGGGUUUGACCUCCAUUUGACGUCAACCCUUAUGGGGCUCUGAACAUCGGUCAUGUAAAAUAAAUAUCCUGAUCUCCAUUUGACGUCAACCCCCAUGGGACUCUAAACGUCGGUCAUGCAAAAUAAAGUCGCUGACCUCCAUUUAACGUCAACUUUUGUGGGACUUUGAACGUCGGUCAUGCAAAAUAAAGCCUUAGACCUCAUUUUGACGUCAACUCCUAGGGAGCUCUGAACGUCGGUCAUGCCACAGAGCCUCUGACCAAUACCACGUCAACGGUUAUUGACACUAUGAAAUUGGCUAAGUAGAAGCAAACCUUUGGCCGAAUCAAAAGUUCGUGUUAAUAAAAAACUUUGGCAUCUCGAUCAAGUUGACAUACCUUUGUCCUUAAGUAGUUUGAUUAAAUUUAUCACUGACCAAAUAUUCGACAUGAUCUACCUGGGGUUAAGCCGAUUCUUGUUCAAAAUUAAUAAGAUCUCUCAAAUCAUUAAGGCUCGAUUUGUUGGGGCUUUAAACCUAUACGGUAUAAACUUCAGCUAAAAGAUAAGUUGACUCGUUUGAAGCCGACCAUUUUAUCUGAUUUCCAUUCGAACACAUCAGUUAUUACCAAAGAGAUAAAAUACAUUAGGGUUACCUAACAAAUUCAAAAGGACUAACACAUUAUUCUCAGAGGACCAGGAAAGCGUCAAAACAUUACAUAAUGCACCCGCAAAGGAUAAUUCAAUAAUUACGAACCAAUGUUCUGAUGAGAGAUCUCUGAUUUUAAUCACACCAAAGAUUCUCGGGUAUUUGACCCCAACUCACAUGGGUCAUGUAAAGAAUGAAGCAAGACAUACUUGGAAUUCGCCAACAUCUUAUCUAUCAGGAUUUAGUUACUUAUAAUAUUUGAAAACCCACGUAGGAUAUCACAAUUCUAAUAAUAGGGACAAGCUUUAGCUUAAUUAAAACGAGACGCUAAUAAGUCGAGAUCCAACUAAGGCUUCCCGACUUCUCUAUGUCUAGAACCUACCGAGUUUUAUGACACCAAUAGAUCGAGAUCCCACUAGGGCUCUCUAACUUCUCUAUGUCUAGAACCUAGUGAAUUUUAUGACACCAAUAGGUCGAGAUCCUACUGGGACUCUCUAACUUCUCUAGGUCUAGAACCUUCCGAGUUCUACGACAUCAAUGGGUCGAGAUCCCACUCGGGCUCUCUGAAUUUUCUUUGUAUAUAACCUACCGAGUUCUGCAACGACAAUGGGUCGAGAUCCCACUAGGGCUCUCCAACUUCUAUAUGCCUAUAAACUACCAAGUUUUACGACAACAACGGGUCGAUAUCCCAUUGGGGCUCUCCGACUCCUAUAUGUCUAGAAACGGUUUGGAAACCAUGUCGAACUAGAGUUAUGAUUGGAUUCCCCAUAAAAUCAGACCAGAUGGAAGUAUAACCCAUUCAAGAAGAAAGAAUUUCAAGAUUCUUUGUCUGAAUAUUCAUCUCAUUGUGAUUCAUGAUCGAGAGGCUUAUGUACAUCCUGAAAUUCUUAAAGUCGAGUAUGUUUCUCGGAUUUUGAUAAGGCUGAAGAAUUAUUAUGAGGUCGGGCAGCGAGUUCCAUAUUCAUCCCAGACUCAAUUGACUGGGCUCUGAAGGAACGAGUCAAGUCAUAAUCGUUGUAACAUUCCUGGAAGGUCGAAGACCGUUACAGAAUGAUUGAUAAUUUGUUACAUAUCACUAAUAGCUACUAAACCCAUUAAAACUACGUCCAUUUAAUAUUCAAGAGGGAGAGCAAGGUUUGCAUAUAAAUAGGUCUUGAGACCAAACAAAUAAGGAGACAUUUGAUCAAUGAAUAACAUUAGAAAGAGAGAAAAUACGCGAGAACCUUGGAUUACCAACAAUGGUGGCCAAGAUUCCUCCCUAACCUGCCUCAUGCCAGACAGGACGAUUGUGAUCCCACCUGACCAGCUUCAGGGGGAUUUCUCCAAAUGAUAUUUAUCAAAAAUAUAAAUAAUAAAAAAACAAACAAAAAUAUCAUAAUAUUGACCAUACAACUAAUAUUCUAACUUACAAAAACUAAAUAAUAAAAUACAAAGUUAUAUGAACAAGGUGAGUUUUGGGGUACUAGUGCCCCCAUUUCUUAGUCAAUCCCUAAAUUUUGUAAUCAAAGAAUAUUUGAACCUAAAUCCAAUUAAAACGAUUUUUCUAUAUUAAAUUUGGAGUGAAUUCAAAUGAGUAUUUAUUAGUUCGAUUUUUGUUGCUAUGAAUAUAGCCUUGAGAACAAGAACUUAAAUAGAGGGGUUGCGAAAAUUGGGAAAUGCUCAUUCCAUCCUAUGGGGUGCGUCCAACACAUAUGUAAACCCAAAAAUGCCAUUAUUUGUGUUCGAAGGUGCAUCUCUAGAUGCACCUAAAAUCACAUAAACUUUCGUAAUAUCUGAUAGCCACCCAUUUUGAGCAAAAUAUGAUCCGGAGAUUUGUAUAUUAUUUGGGGUGUAUUCGGAGAUACAUGUCCGAAAACCCCUAUGAAUAGUUUCAAGACAGUAACAUUGUCCCAAAAUUUAUAUUUUUUAAGGUCAACUUAUGUUUUAGGCCAUGAGUUAAAAUACAUAUACAUUAAUCGAUUCAAACAUGCUACACAUACAUUAAAAAAGUCACACAUUAAUUAAAGUAUAACCAAAAUGUAAGGAUCAUACAUAACUUGUUCCGAAAAUACAAAAAAUAUUAAAAUCAAACAUAUACUACUGAGAAUGUAUAACCCUUAACUUCUCUGUUUGUACUGUAAGGCAUUUCAAGUCUCGACAAUAACACCUUCUAAGAGGGCCAACUAGAGAUUGCCUUCCUCAAAAAGUCCAACCCAUAUGCAUGAUCUCUUCAUAUCCACAACAUGCUGGCAAACAUUGCUUACGUCCUGGGUGUGGUUAUUCGUAACCUUAAGCACCCCUUGAUUAAAUGGCGUAAGCGGCUUUCUAGAAGCGUCUGAUGUCAUAAUAGGGUGUGAUGCCAUAUAGAACCAUGUCUUGUAGGCGUAUGCACAAGUCCAAUGUACACGAGCUGACAUCCUAUAAUACUUCUCUGGUACCAAAUGACUCUAGAAAUCCUCAAGCAUCACAUCAAGAUCUCUGCGAUGGACGAUGGGAGAAGCGGACUUUGAGGGGUAUCUCAAAGUAAUAUGGAAAUAUCCAAACUGACACAUCACUCACUUGGGAAGAUACAUAUACAUCAGGCAUAACCCAUGUGCUAGCCAACAGGAGUAUAAUGAAUUGAGGUUUAGCUGACGCAUUUAACGGUGACCUUCAUAUGGGUAAAAGACAAUGUCAUAUGCUAUAAUGUAAUCAAGAUACACUCGGAAGGGCUCGAUCUCCUAAUUCCAUAUACACGGGGAAAAUGCAGCAACACGUGACUAAUCCUCAUCGUAGUUAGGCACAUGUUUCCACCCGAAAGUGCGAGGAAAGUGAGAGAUGAUCCAUCCUUAAAAAAGGGUUACGAUAAAUAUUAGUAACAAGUGUAACAAAAGAGAUAAAAAUAUCAGUAACAAUAAAUUACCGUAAGCAGCGUAUAACUUCCUGUCAUUUGCUUUGUCUUACAAAGAUAACCCUCGUAAAUCGCCGUCAAGUCGAUGAAGUAUUUAAGGCAUACCACAUCGACGUAGGUUGCACUUUUGCACACAAGUAUGGACGUGUCAAUCAGGUACAAGAGCUAACACCUUAAUUCACACUAUCGGUGAUACUUAACCUACAUAUCAUCACCGUCGGCAUCCACAACCAUCUGCAGGUGGUCUUUAUAAAGUUUCUUCUAAUAAAUUAAAUAUAGCAUGAGCACCUCUAGUGCCAUCUACCUCAUUUGCAGCCUUAGUUGAGUCAACCCCCAAAUAUGUAAUCAACAUCUCGUUGUCUUCCUCUCGAUUGAGUCAUCAGUGGUCCAAUAAUUUUCCCAUAAUGGGAAGAUACAAGAGGCACGAGACAUCAUCUAGGGUGAUGGUCAUCUUUCAAAAAAGAAUGUGGAAAUAUGAAGUCUCUGAAUUCCAUCUUCCUGCAAAUUUCGCAUGCAUGUAAUGGUUUAUGGUAGUGUAUGCAACAACAUAUAAAUCAACAAAAUCAAAGUAGCAGAUACCAUUUUUGAACCAGUCAGUGUCAGGCUAUUCCAAAUCCACAAUAUUUCUUAUGUGGUUUAUAGAUUUUAAACAUAGAUACUCAUAUAAAAAAACACCAUCAAUCACAAUUAAAUUUGUUUAAAACAGAUGUAAUGGAAAUGUAAAUAAACAUACAUCUCCUUCCCAUACAUGUCUUGAAAUAGGGUAUCUAUGGAUAUGAAGCAAAAAUGUGUCAAAUGGGCCUCACAAAUAACUAUAUACAUGGGCAUUAAUAAUAGGUUCCUCUUGGGCUUCAGGUGCUUCAUCAACUAGGGAUAUGUGACCCCGUGAGGUAGAUAUCUGAGAUAGGCGACUAAGGGAAGUAAAACCAGAGCCAUCAAACAAGGUAUCAUCGACUCGUGAUCUCAUAGCUCUUCCCCGUCCCUCUCACGUUGUACAAACACAUGUUAGGACACAUGGUUAAGCCUAAUUCCGUUCAGGUUGUUUUCAGUCACUGCACUUGUAAUAAAAUCAGAAAGUCACAUCAAAAUUCAACCAAGAUGUAGUCAGACAUAAAUUCAAAGAUACAUCUCCAAAAGCAUCUUAGACAUAAUCCGAGAAUGCAUCUCCGAAUGAACUCAAGAUUCAUUGAUGGCUUAACAUCCAACCAAAUGAAAAUAAAUGCCUAUAUCAACUACCUAUUUCAAUUGUACUACUAUCUAAUGUAACUUAAACAACCUAUGUUACUUAAAACAUCAUUCAAAAUACAAAAAUAGAAUGAAAUAAUAUACUUACCAAAUUAGAGUUGUGGAUGAAAAGCUUGAAUGAAGUGAGUGAUAAUGGAGUGAAAUGCAGCAAAUGAAGUAGAAUGAAGCUUGAUGAAACUUGUUCAAAUAUGGUUUGGAAAUAGUUUGCAACAAGAGAGCUUACAUAUAGUUCUUUAAGUGACUUUUCAAAAAA